rnacentral:rRNA from 1 species
CCUACGGGGGGCAGCAGUGGGGGAUAUUGGGCAAUGGGCGCAAGUCUGACCCAGCAACGCCGCGUGAAGGAAGAAGGCUUUCGGGUUGUAAACUUCUUUUAGGAGGGAAGAGCAGAAGACGGUACCUCUUGAAUAAGCCACGGCUCACUACGUCCCAGCCGCCGCGGUAAUACGUAGGUGGCAAGCGUUGUCCGGAUUUACUUGGUGUAAAGGGCGUGUAGCCGGGCUGACAAGUCAGAUGUGAAAUGCCGGGGCCCAACCCCGGACCUGCAUUUGAAACUGUUGGUCUUGAGUAUCGGAGAGGCAGGCGGAAUUCCUAGUGUAGCGGUGAAAUGCGUAGAUAUUAGGAGGAACACCAGUGGCGAAGGCGGCUUGCUGGACGACAACUGACGGUGAGGCGCGAAAGCGUGGGGAGCAAACAGGAUUAGAUACCCCUGUAGUC